GUUAAGAGGAAUGUUGUAUGGCUCGAGGUCAUGAAGAAAAUUCUUUUGCCUAAUCGUAAAAGAAUGAAAACAAAUCAUAAUUGAUCCUCGGACCAGGCUUCAUUCCCCUCAAC
rnacentral:pre_miRNA from 1 species